rnacentral:lncRNA from 1 species
UUUCAAUGACCAUGAGUAUCCAGUGAAAGCUGUUUACACACAUAUAUAUAGUCAGGCCUAUAUAUAACUAUAUAAAACUUGUCUCGAGUAAUAAUAAGUAAAAUAAAAUAUGCAUGCACUUAAUAACUAUAUAACUCACUCGAAGUUGAAGGGGAAGAGUAUUUUUUGUUUUUCUUUUUGGUUCACAAAGAACCUCAUAAGAUUGGUGCAGACUUCUGUCUCAUGAGCUGCUGUUCACAUUGUCUGCGGAGCCUUGAAAACAAUAUAAGGGUCAACGAACCCAAUACUAUUGUCAUUUCUCAUUCCGAGCUCUCUCAUUUGGUGUCUGCAUAUAUACAUACAAAUCAUAAGUUUGUAAGGAUUUUAUACAUGUAAUUAAAGAAGUUAGAAGUAUAAUAAAAAGAAAAAAAAUACUUACAGACAAAAGCAGCUGACAAGAGAUUUGUUGAGAGCGUCG